AAUUUAUAUUGGAGGGUGGUAUUCCCGCUUAUAUUUUCAAUGCUUGCCCUGUCCAAAAAAAUAAAAAAUAAAAAUAAUAUAUUCACCAAAUCAUUGCUUUUCCACACAAAGAAACCCACCAAGACAACCACUACUGCCUCUGAUCCACAUCUAUUUCAAUUCUAAGUCGGCGAACUCUCCAAGCCAUGACCGCCACUGGGCAUCUACAGAGCAAAUGAUCCACAGUAAACAAAUCCAGAUAGCCAUAAAAAAAAAAAAACACACACUGACACACACACACUACCGGUCGGAUCGAAGCCCUAACCUGUGAAAAUGUUUUUCCCUCUUUCCAUCAAGCCUCUUUCAGUUGGCCAUCAGAGCAAACCCUAACCCCUAAAGAAGAAACCCUAAGUCUGGAAUCCUCCAUUAGAGACACGAAGGUGUGUUCGGCGAUUUGCAGACGACCGCUGCUGUUAGGUACCCAAAUUUGAGUAGUUACUCAUACCCAUGUAGGCCACCUUCUGGAGGACCAAGAAAUCGGAUUAGUUUUGACUUUUGAAGUGCUAUAUUCAUCUUGCCAUUGCUGGGUAUGUAAGAUCGAUCUUCCCUUUCUCGUACAUACAGCUAGAGGCCCCAGAUUUGAUAUUUUUUCGUUGCUUGGCCCAAAUCUUUGAAAGUGUUCUAAACUCCCAUUUCUCUUCUUCUACUUUCUUCAAUCACAGAGGCCGGAUCUCUAACCCAGGUACAUGAUACAAGAUUGGAGAUUGUAAUUACUUGGGUGAUUUGCUGAGUUGAGCUUCUUUAGAAUCAUUCUUGUUCACAUGCAAGUGUUAGCAUGUUCAUGAUUUGUCUAUGAAAUGUAAUUUUUCUAACUUGGAGGUUUGACAUGUCAAAUGUUGUAAAUGUAUUGUAAUGUGGCCAUAGGCUAUUGUAGCACAUCUAUUUUAUCAUAUUACAUACACUUGCAUACUCACUUUGGCAAACAAUACCUUCCUUGAUGAAACAAAAACCUAAAGUUGCAUUUUUUUUUUUUUGACCCUAUUCUAUUACAGGGGCAUUUUGGGUAUUUAAAAAUGAGUUUUUAUCAUUUUUCCUCUCGUGUCACGUAGAAAAAUUGAUUUUGAGGGGGGUUUGUGUUUUUCCAGAAAACAUUAUCUUGGCCCUCAAAAAUCCGUAUUUUUCCAUAAAAUCCUUACUGCCAGGUUUUGCAAAUUUUUAGUACAAAUGUAGUUGGUACUAUUCAUCGACUUUUUUUUGAAAAUCGUCACGACCGAUCUGAAACUUCCGGAGGUUUUGUGGGUGUAUUUUAAGUUUGCAUUUUCAAUUUAGGCAAUUUAAAAACCUCCCGAAGCCCCAUUUCCAAAACUUGGGUAGCAGCUCGGAUUAUUUUUUUUUCCUCUUGACCUAAUUUUCUUGGUGGCAUUCUGGGCAUUCUAAAAUGCAUUUUUUUUUGUUUCCGUCCAUGUGUGGGGUAGAAAACUUGAUUUUAGGGGGGGUUUCUUCUUUGAGUUUUUCCAAAAAAGUCCGUUUAGAUGCCCGUUUUUACUCUCAGUUGCAGCAAUGGUGGGUUGUCUUCGUCGGGCCGCCACGACAUCAUUUUUGUUCUUGAUCUUUCUCCUUCGUCCAGAUUCUGAAUGAUGAAAUUCUUGAGUCCAUUAUGAUUAAUUUUUAUUGUCUUUCCAGCGGUGUGCUCGAUAGCACUUGAAUCCACUUUUUGAAAAAUGUCCAUUUUGCCCCUAGGUUCUUUUUGUCCGUUUUUGAAAUGACACUUCUGCAUUUGUUUCCUUUGGGUUCCGUGAUCUCAUUGAGGGUCGCAUUGGUUUUUUAGAGUCGCAUUGUAUCUCUAGAGACCGUUGUUCCACCUUUCGUUUACGCAUUUCAGAUCCAUUGUCGGGUCAUCUUUUGGUCAUCAUUGACGCACCGGAUUUACAAAACUUGGGCCGUCACAAACACAAGCACACACACACACACACACACACACACAUAAGAUAC